UUUCAUUUGACGAUUCAAAUUAUCACUCCCUCUUCUCUCUUUUCUCUCCUCAAACCCUAAAAGUGACUGAAAAAAAACCUAGAACACGCCUCUCCGCCGUCGCAAACCGUUGAAUCACAGAAGAUGAAUCAGUUUUAUCCGCCGAAAAGCUUCGUUCUCUUCAAUCUCAGUUUUUCGCAAAUCACCCCGCACAUUUGCGCCUUCUUAAGCGUUAGAUCCGCACAAUUUUUCAUGCUUGGUGUAUGGUGGAGGAAGUGUUAGACUGAUGGGGUUGAUAUCUCAGAAAAUGUAUAGUGGUGGCUGCAAUGUUCUAUGGAUAAAUGAAGAAACGUGUUUUAUAUUCAUUCAAAUGUUGUUAUUCUAAAACUUGGGCAUAACUUGGAAUUCAUAUAAAAACGGGUUGGCCUACUGAAUGUUGAGGGUUACUAUAACUUUUUGCUUGCACUAUUUGACAAUGAUGUUGAAGAAGACUCAUUAAGCCCGGUGCUCAGCAUAUAGUUGUCUCAACUUCAUCCGCCAAAGAACUUAUGAUGGAG